AAUGAACGCUGGCGGCGUGCCUAAUACAUGCAAGUCGAGCGAAGCGGGGACGGGUGAGUAACACGUGGAUAACCUCCGAUGAGACUGGGAUAACUGCGGGAAACCGGAACUAAACGGGAUACUUAUAGCUGGAUCCGCGCUGCAUUAGUUAGUUGGUAAGUUAACAGCUUACCAAGGCAACCAUGCAUAGCUGACCUAAGAGGGUGAUCGGCCACACUGGAACUGAGAAACGGCCCAGACUCCUACGGGAGGCAGCAGUGGGGAAUAUUCCGCAAUGGGCGAAAGCCUGACGGAGCCAUGCCGCGUGUGUGAUGAAGGCCUUCGGAUCGUAAAGCUCUGUUAUUAGGGAAGCGGUACCUAAUCAGAAAGCCACGGCUAACUACUUGCCAGCAGCCGCGGUAAUAC
rnacentral:rRNA from 1 species